rnacentral:rRNA from 1 species
CAGUCGCCGCGGUAAAACGAAGGGUGCAAGCGUUAAUCGGAAUUACUGGGCGUAAAGCGUGCGUAGGCGGUUUGUUAAGUCUGCUGUGAAGUCCCCGGGCUCAACCUGGGAAUGGCAGUGGAUACUGACAAGCUAGAGUGUGUCAGAGGAUGGUGGAAUUCCCGGUGUAGCGGUGAAAUGCGUAGAGAUCGGGCGGAACAUCAGUGGCGAAGGCGGCCAUCUGGGACAACACUGACGCUGAGGCACGAAAGCGUGGGGAGCAAACAGGAUUAGAUACCCGCGUAGUCCCUGUCUCUUAUAC